rnacentral:tRNA from 1 species
GGGGUUGUGGCUCAGUGGUAGAGCGCUUGCCUCACACGCAUGGGUUCGAUCCUCAGCACCA